rnacentral:rRNA from 1 species
GACGAACCAUGAUGUCAUUUAUUUGGUGUUGUGGGGAAUCAGGACUGUUACUUUGAAAAAAUUAGAGCGUUUAAAGCAGGCUCACGCUUGAAUACAUUAGCAUGGAAUAAUGAAAUAGGACGUUUGAUUCUAUUUUGUUGGUUUCUAGGAUCGACGUAAUGAUUAAUAGGGAUAGUUGGGGGCAUUAGUAUUCAAUUGUCAGAGGUGAAAUUCUUGGAUUUAUUGAAGACUAACUACUGCGAAAGCAUUUGCCAAGGAUGUUUUCAUUAAUCAAGAACGAAAGUUAGGGGAUCGAAGACGAUCAGAUACCGUCGUAGUCUUAACCAUAAACUAUGCCGACUAGGGAUCGGAUGAUGUUAAUUUUUUAAUGACUCAUUCGGCGCCUUACG